GACGAACGCUGGCGGCGUGCUUAACACAUGCAAGUCGAACGGAAAGGCCCUGCUUUUGUGGGGUGCUCGAGUGGCGAACGGGUGAGUAACACGUGAGUAACCUGCCCUUGACUUUGGGAUAACUUCAGGAAACUGGGGCUAAUACCGGAUAGGAGCUCCUGCUGCAUGGUGGGGGUUGGAAAGUUUCGGCGGUUGGGGAUGGACUCGCGGCUUAUCAGCUCGUUGGUGGGGUAGUGGCUUACCAAGGCUUUGACGGGUAGCCGGCCUGAGAGGGUGACCGGCCACAUUGGGACUGAGAUACGGCCCAGACUCCUACGGGAGGCAGCAGUGGGGAAUAUUGCACAAUGGGCGGAAGCCUGAUGCAGCAACGCCGCGUGCGGGAUGACGGCCUUCGGGUUGUAAACCGCUUUCGCCUGUGACGAAGCGUGAGUGACGGUAAUGGGUAAAGAAGCACCGGCUAACUACGUG
rnacentral:rRNA from 1 species